rnacentral:rRNA from 1 species
GAUGAACGCUGGCGGCGUGCUUAACACAUGCAAGUCGAACGAAGCACUUGAAACGGAUUCUUCGGAUGAAGUUUCCUGUGACUGAGUGGCGGACGGGUGAGUAACGCGUGGGUAACCUGCCUCAUACAGGGGGAUAACAGUUAGAAAUGGCUGCUAAUACCGCAUAAGCGCACGGCAUCGCAUGAUGCAGUGUGGAAAACUCCGGUGGUAUGAGAUGGACCCGCGUUGGAUUAGCUAGUUGGCAGGGUAACGGCCUACCAAGGCGACGAUCCAUAGCCGGCCUGGGAGGGUGGAUGGGCACAUUGGGACGGAGACACGGCCCAGACUCCUACGGGAGGCAGCAGUGGGGAAUAUUGCACAGUGGGGGAAACCCUGAUGCAGCGACGCCGCGUGAGCGAGGAAGUAUUUCGGUAUGUAAAGCUCUAUCAGCAGGGAAGAAAAUGACGGUACCUGACUAAGAAGCCCCGGCUAACUACGUGCCAGCCGCCGCCGUAA